rnacentral:rRNA from 1 species
UACGAAGGGGGCUAGCGUUGCUCGGAAUUACUGGGCGUAAAGGGAGCGUAGGCGGACAUUUAAGUCAGGGGUGAAAUCCCAGAGCUCAACUCUGGAACUGCCUUUGAUGCUGGAUGUCUUGAGUGUGAGAGAGGUAUGUGGAACUCCGAGUGUAGAGGUGAAAUUCGUAGAUAUUCGGAAGAACACCAGUGGCGAAGGCGACAUACUGGCUCAUUACUGACGCUGAGGCUCGAAAGCGUGGGGAGCAAACAGG